rnacentral:rRNA from 1 species
GACGAACGCUGGCGGCGUGCUUAACACAUGCAAGUCGAACGGGUCUGCCCUGUUUUUUGCGGGGUGGGUCAGUGGCGAACGGGUGAGUAACACGUGAGUAACCUGCCUCUCACUUCUGGAUAACCGCUUGAAAGGGUGGCUAAUACGGGGUGUUCUGGCUGUGCCGCUUGGUGUGGCUGGGAAAGAUUCACUUUUGUGGUGUUUUGGUGGGGGAUGGGCUCGCGGCCUAUCAGCUUGUUGGGGGGGUGAUGGCCUGCCAAGGCUUUGACGGGUAGCCGGCCUGGGAGGGUGGGCGGUCACACUGGGGAUGAGAGACGGACACGACUCCGGCGGGAGGCAGCGGGGGGGAGUAGUGCACGAUGGGCGGAAGCCUGAUGCAGCGACGUCGCGUGGGGGAUGGAGGCCUGCGGGUUGUGAACCUCUUUCGCCGGUGAAGAAGGUCCUGCUCCUUGUGGUGGGGUUGACGGUAACCGGGUGAUGAAGCGCCGGCUAACUACGUG